UACGUAGGGGGCAAGCGUUAUCCGGAAUUACUGGGUGUAAAGGGAGCGUAGACGGUUAAGUAAGUCUGGAGUGAAAGGCCGGGGCCCAACCCCGGGACUGCUCUGGAAACUAUUUAACUUGAGUGCAGGAGAGGUAAGCGGAAUUCCUAGUGUAGCGGUGAAAUGCGUAGAUAUUAGGAGGAACACCAGUGGCGAAGGCGGCUUACUGGACUGUAACUGACGUUGAGGCUCGAAAGCGUGGGGAGCAAACAGG
rnacentral:rRNA from 1 species